AUCCAGCUGACAAGUCCCAAAUAGGACGAAGUUGAGUGCGUUCUGGAU
rfam:Schistosoma margrebowiei strain Zambia genome assembly, scaffold: SMRZ_scaffold0001055